rnacentral:rRNA from 1 species
GACGAACGCUGGCGGCGUGCUUAACACAUGCAGGUCGAGCGGUAAGGCCCUUUCGGGGGUACACGAGCGGCGAACGGGUGAGUAACACGUGGGUGACCUGCCCUUAGCUCUGGGAUAAGCCUGGGAAACUGGGUCUAAUACCGGAUAUGACUCCAUGACGCAUGUUGUGGGGUGGAAAGCCUUGUGCGGCUAGGGAUGGGCCCGCGGCCUAUCAGCUUGUUGGUGGGGUGAUGGCCUACCAAGGCGACGACGGGUAGCCGGCCUGAGAGGGCGACCGGCCACACUGGGACUGAGACACGGCCCAGACUCCUACGGGAGGCAGCAGUGGGGAAUCUUGCGCAAUGGGCGAAAGCCUGACGCAGCGACGCCGCGUGGGGAUGACGGCCU